rnacentral:rRNA from 1 species
AUGGAUCGAUCAAAGUUGGACAUGGACACGGAGGGGCAGCGGUUGCAACGACAUCCCUUGUUUUCGCGGCUCAAGUGCGGCGAGGAGGAGACGCUAGCACCGAGGAGCAGCGACCAGCGCCUCUACGUCACCGACGUCUCCCUCGUCCGCCCGGGGAGUGCAGCCAACGGCCAGAGCGUCGUGGCCGCCUGCGUCGAGAUCGGCACUCGGAACCUCAUGCUCGGGACGCUGUCGGUGGAGAGCCCCUGCGUGAAGCUGCAGACGCCGUUGGAGCUGGACAAGGAGUUCUGCUUUUACGUGGUACGUCUGGAAGACGGCUACGCCGCCGACGAUGACGCCGACUGCAACAUGGACGCCGAUGCGGUAGUCGUCGAGUUCCAGGGUUUCGCUCUCGCUCCGCCGUCUCUCCACACGGAGGAGAAAGACGAUGACGACCACAAGGAGGGGCAGGAGACUGACGGCGAGAUUGACUCAGACGUGGCCAGGGCGAGCAGUGCCGGCGGCAACGGCAAGGACGUUCGACAGGUUGUAGCUAGAGGAAUCUUUGGAAUUCUUACGCUUGUGUCUAUGCUGGCAUCGAUCAUGUAA